GAUGAACGCUGGCGGCGUGCCUAAUACAUGCAAGUCGAGCGAACGGACGAGAAGCUUGCUUCUCUGAUGUUAGCGGCGGACGGGUGAGUAACACGUGGAUAACCUACCUAUAAGACUGGGAUAACUUCGGGAAACCGGAGCUAAUACCGGAUGAUAUUUUGAACCGCAUGGUUCAAAAGUGAAAGACGGUCUUGCUGUCACUUAUAGAUGGAUCCGCGCUGCAUUAGCUAGUUGGUAAGGUAACGGCUUACCAAGGCAACGAUGCAUAGCCGACCUGAGAGGGUGAUCGGCCACACUGGAACUGAGACACGGUCCAGACUCCUACGGGAGGCAGCAGUAGGGAAUCUUCCGCAAAGGGCGAAAGCCUGACGGAGCAACGCCGCGUGAGUGAUGAAGGUCUUCGGAUCGUAAAACUCUGUUAUUAGGGAAGAACAUAUGUGUAAGUAACUGUGCACAUCUUGACGGUACCUAAUCAGAAAGCCGCGGCUAACUACGUG
rnacentral:rRNA from 1 species